AUUUAUUUGAGCAAAAUUCUCAAUGAUUAUUGCUUCACUUAAUCUCUUCUGUUCCUUUCUCACUUCUUCGUUUUCUGUUUUUCCAAUUUGAAUAUUUCUAUUGACAUUUCCUCAAACUUAGUGAUUCUAUCCUCAGUCAUAUUCAGUCUACUAACAAGGUCAUCAAAGGCUCUUCAUUUCUCUUACAGUGUUUUUGAUUUCUAGCAUUUCUCUUUUUAAAAAUUGUAGUAAUAGCAUUUAACAUGAGACCUAUUCUUUCAACAAACUUUUAAGUAUUAGCUAUAGACAUUUAAUUGUACAGCAGAUGUCUGGAACUUAUUCAUCUUGUAUAACUAAAUCUUUAUACCCAAUGAAUAUCAACUCCCCAUUUCCCCCUCCCCGCCGCCAGCCUCUGGCAACCAGUCUUCUUACUCUCUGUACGGGUUUGGCUUUGGCUAUUUUUAGAUACUUCAUGUAAGUGGAACCACUUAUAUGAAGCAUCUAAAAAAGUAUUUGUUGUCCUGUGACUACCUUAUUUCACAUAGUGUAAUGUCCUCCACAUUCAUCCAUGUUGUCUCAUACUGUAGGAUUUCCUUCUUUUCUAAGGCUGAAUAAUACUUCAUUGUUUGCAUAUAUUUUCUUUAUCCAUUCAUCUGUCAAUGGACAUUUAGAUUAUUUUCCACAUCUUGGCAUACAUAAAUAGAGUUCCUUAUCCUUAGUUCAGGUCUUCGUUAAAACCUGAACUUCUCCAUUACCACUGUAAUCUGUAACAUUAACAUUCUCUAAUGGAUCUCUCUGAAUCUGACCUUCCAUCAUUCAGUCUAACUAUUACAUUGUUAGUAGUGUAUUUUUCUAAAAGGCAAAAAUAAUAAUCCUUGGUAAUAGAUGAGUAGCUCAUAAGAGGCUUAGUCCAUUUUGUGCUGCUAAAACAGAAUACCACAGACUGGGUAAUUUAUAAUGAACAGACAUUUAUUGGCUUAUAGUUCUGGAGGUCGAGAAGUCCAAUAUAAAGUACUAGCAUCUGGUGACGGCCUUCUUAUGCAUCAUAAUGUGGUGGAAUACAUCAUAUGGAUGAGAGAGACAGCAAGAGGGGACAAAACUCAUCCUUUUAUAAGAAACCCACUCCUAGGCUGGCGCAGUGGCUCAUGCCUGUAAUCCCAGCACUUUGGGAGGCUGAGGCAGGCAGAUCACCUGAGGUCAGGAGUUCAAGACCAGCCCGGCCAACAUGGUGAAACCUCAUCUCUACGAAAAAUACAAAAAUUAGCCAGGCAUGGUGGCAUGCACCUGUAAUUCCAGCUACUCAGGAGGAUGAGGCAGGAGAAUUGCUUGAACCCAGGAGGCGGAGGUUGCAGUGAGCUGAGGUCACACCACUGCAUUCCAGCCUGGGCAACAGAGUGAGACUCCAUCUAAAAAAAAAAAAGAAAAGAAAAAAAAGAAAAGAAAAGAAACCCACUCCUGUGAUAAUAAACCUACUCUCACAAUAAUGGCAUUAAUCCAUUUAUGAGGGCAGAGCUUUUACAAACUAAACACCUCUUAAAGGUCCCAUCUCCCACCACCUCCACAUUGGGGAUCAAGUUUCCAAUACAUGAACUUUAGGGGACACAUUCAAACCAUGGCAUAGGUUAAUCUUUUACACAAUUGAAAUUCACUAGAAAGGUGAACAAACAAGAACAUGGAAUCCAUAGUCAAGACAAACAAACGCUGAGAUAUUUGAAUUACCAGACAAAAUCUUGGAAGGAGCUAUUAUGGUCAUCUUCAAAGACUUAAAGGGAAAUGACCACAAUGACUAAACAAACUUAUAAUUUUAUUGGAGAAAUGGAUAAAAGAAAUCAAAUGGAAAUUCCAGAAAUGAAAAGUACUGUAUCUGAAAUGAAAUGUUUUCUGGGUGGGUUUAGCCAGUAGACUAGAGAUGGCAAAAGAAACUAGCAUGAACUGAAGAUGAGUGAACUGAAGGUAAAAUCAAAAGCUAGAGAGAAAAUUUUGAAAAUAGCCAAAGGAACAAGGAUACAGAUGGUGUCUUAUAUCUCAUUUGAGCAGUGGAGCCCAGAGAUAAUGGAACAACAUAUUAAAUGUGUUGAGAUGAAAAAAAUUUGCUUGCCCAGAAUAUCAUAUCCAUCUAGAAUAUCAUUCAAAAGAGAAUGAAGAAAUUUUGUGAUCAAUGAAAGCUGAGAGAUUUUUUUUUUUUUUUUUUUUUGCCAGCUCAUCAACACUACAAAUCUAAAGCUGAAAGCUCAGGGUACGGUAAUGACAGAUGGAAACUUCAUUACAGAAAGCAAUGAAGAACACCCAAGUGCUGGUCUUGGCUCAUUCCUGCUCCUCCCUGCUAGUAUCUCAAAGCCACCUUACAGGAAUGUAAAAGCCACACUACCCAAUUACUGCAACUCAAAGGAUAAAUGUCAACAUCUAUACAAAGUAUUGUCAGAAAGAGUGUGAAAAAAAGGUGUAGACCAGACCCAUGACUUGCUCCUAAACAACAGAAUAUGACAAAUGGAAUGGCACGUCACUCCCAUGAUUAUGUGAUGUUAUAUGACUGUGUCUUGCUAGCUGGCUGGCUCCACAGACGUUCUCUCUCCCUUGCUGGCUGUGAAGAAGCAAGCUGCCAGAACUCCUAAAGCCACAUGGAGCUCAUUGCUGCCAAAAGGAAUUGGGAAGCAAAUCCUUCCCUAGCUGAGCCUCCAGUUGAGAGCCAGUCCUGGCCAACACCUUGAAUGUAGCCUUGUAAGACCUUCUGAGGAGGACCAAGCUAUGCCGUAUCCAGAUGUGUGACCUGCAGAAACUCUGAGAGCCUUUGAUGGGAAUUCAGCCCAGCUGACACCUUGAUGUCCACCUUGUGAUACCUUGGGAAGAAUCCCUGCCCCACCAUGCUGAACUUUUGAUCUACAAAACUGUGAGCUAAUAAAUGGAUGUUGUUUUAAGCAGCUAAGUUUGUGGUAAUGUGUUACACAGCAAUAGAAAACUAACAUACAUGGUUAUCUAUAUUAUUGUAGCUAUAUCUUUUACAUAUGCUGUAAAAAUUCUUUAGUGUGAUUUUAUUUUCUAAUAAACUUUUUCUUAAAAAAAAGAGAAAGCCAGAAAAUAAGUCUCUUGACUUCAGUGGGCCUUCUGAAUAGUGCAGGUGUAAAAAGGGGGAACGGAGGGAGUAUGAAAAGAAUGUAAAGAUUUGCCAUGCUCAAUAAUGAUGAUAUGCAUUCAAGACAUAUCAUGAGUUAUGGGUCAUGCCCAAAGCCUUUUAAUAAUAUGCCUUUUAUUAGAUGACAUAAAGUUACCAGCAAAGAUUAUAACAUUGAGCCAAGAAUGCAUACUAGUAUUUAUGGAGGCCCAGAAUUUGGAAAAUGAUUCAGUCCUGUUUAUUCUAUGUAAUGAUGUUAUUUUUGUACUAAACAUGAGGGUUGUAAAGGGAUUCUAUAUGUUAGUUUAAAUGUGUAAAUAUUUCUCUUAUAGCAUCCU
rnacentral:lncRNA from 10 species